GAUGAACGCUGACAGAAUGCUUAACACAUGCAAGUCAUUGGCGAAGCUGCGCUUGCGCAGUCUAGCCAAGGCGGACGGGUGAGUAACGCGUAAGGAACUUGCCCUGCAGACAGGGAUAACAGACGGAAACGACUGAUAACACCUGGUAUUGUCAGGCUGGCGCAUGCCGGCCUGAUGAAAGGAGACGCUGCAGGAGAGCCUUGCGUCCUAUUAGCUAGUUGGUGGGGUAACGGCCCACCAAGGCGAUGAUAGGUAGCCGGCCUGAGAGGGUGAACGGCCACAAGGGGACUGAGAUACGGCCCUUACGCCUACGGGAGGCAGCAGUGGGGAUUAUUGGACAAUGGGGGCAACCCUGAUCCAGCAAUUCUGUGUGCACGAAGAAGGUUUUCGGAUUGUAAAGUGCUUUCAGCAGGGAAGAAGAAAGUGACGGUACCUGCAGAAGAAGCGACGGCUAAAUACGUG
rnacentral:rRNA from 1 species